UCCUUGAUUAACUUGUACCUCUCCAUUCUCCUUGUGGAACACAAAGAAGCUCCUCCUUUAUUCACGAAAAGUAUUAAGUCUCAAAAACGCUAUAUGACAUCUAAGCUAGAUGAACCCUAGUAGAAAGUAUACAAGCCUGCCUUGGUCCAGCUAACUCUCCAGUUAAUUUUCUGUGAAGGUAAUUGAGAGAACAAAACCAGAAUGAUUUUGAUGGAUGGGCUCAUUCAUUAUCAUUGCCACAACUUCAAGAUAGACAGAAAGCAUGGAGGACAGGAUAAAACAAGGACGGCGAAACAUAUUGGUACCAAACACAGAAGUAGGAACCGACCAGAAUGAUUGCUGUAGCCAACAGGAAGGAUCCCUAUGCUCAAGACAGUCGCUAAAGGGUUUGACAACACGAUAAAAAGCUACCUCAUCUACACUAUGUAGAAAUUGUUCAGUGACCUUGUAUCUUGACACUCAAAACCAGCACCCAUUGCGAGCAAUCAUUUUCUAAGAACUACAGUCUGCAGAGAUUUGAAGUAAGAAAGGGCUUAAGUUAAUUUUCUAAGUAGCUUUCAAUUGGUUCCUUGCAGACUUUAAUCCCCAGAAGACGUGUUGCCAAGAGCUUUGACUGGAUGUUGUAUCAGUAAUGCAUUGAACAAGUGCACUAAAGAUCCAACACCUAUGUCAGAAAAAUUUUGCAUCACGCCUCCUGUUCUGUUCAUUAAAGAGAAACUGACCA
rnacentral:misc_RNA from 1 species